rnacentral:tRNA from 1 species
GCGCCGCUAGCUCAGUUGGUUAGAGCAGCUGACUCUUAAUCAGCGGUCCGGGGUUCGAGUCCCUGGCGGCGCA